UCAAACGGAAGGUGGUUGUUGUCCGAGCCGAAGCAGGUUUGAAAGUGGGGGUCGGGCUCGGCUGUCGUUGUCUGUCGCCGCGGCCCCGCUUCCGGGCUAGGCUGUUCGUACCCGCCCCCGCCCCGCCUCCCUUCGGACCCCUCCGUCCCAGGCCUGACUCCCUGCCCGAUUCGCGCCCCGCCCGCCGCAGCUCGCUGCCGUCCCGGCCCGCACUGCGGCCCCGCCGCCGCCACUAUGUCCCUGCACGGCAAACGGAAGGAGAUCUACAAGUAUGAAGCGCCCUGGACCGUCUACGCCAUGAACUGGAGCGUGCGGCCCGACAAGCGCUUUCGCCUGGCGCUGGGCAGCUUCGUGGAGGAGUACAACAACAAGGUUCAGCUUGUUGGUUUAGAUGAAGAGAGUUCGGAGUUUAUUUGCCGAAACACGUUUGACCAUCCGUACCCCACCACAAAGCUCAUGUGGAUCCCGGACACAAAAGGCGUCUAUCCAGACCUGCUGGCGACCAGUGGUGACUAUCUCCGUGUGUGGAGGGUUGGUGAAACAGAGACCAGGCUGGAAUGUUUGCUAAACAAUAACAAGAAUUCGGAUUUCUGUGCUCCUCUGACCUCCUUUGACUGGAAUGAGGUGGAUCCUUAUCUUUUAGGUACCUCCAGCAUUGACACGACUUGUACCAUCUGGGGGCUGGAGACAGGGCAGGUGCUGGGGCGAGUGAAUCUUGUGUCUGGCCAUGUGAAGACCCAGCUGAUCGCCCAUGACAAAGAGGUCUAUGAUAUCGCGUUUAGCCGGGCCGGUGGCGGCAGGGACAUGUUUGCCUCUGUGGGUGCUGACGGCUCUGUGCGGAUGUUUGACCUCCGUCAUCUUGAACACAGCACCAUCAUCUACGAGGACCCUCAGCAUCACCCACUGCUUCGCCUCUGCUGGAACAAACAGGACCCCAACUACCUGGCCACCAUGGCCAUGGAUGGAAUGGAGGUAGUGAUUCUGGACGUCCGAGUUCCAUGCACACCUGUUGCCAGGUUAAACAACCACCGAGCAUGUGUCAAUGGCAUUGCCUGGGCCCCUCAUUCGUCCUGCCACAUCUGUACUGCAGCGGAUGACCAUCAGGCUCUCAUCUGGGAUAUCCAGCAGAUGCCCCGGGCCAUCGAGGACCCUAUCCUGGCCUACACAGCCGAGGGCGAGAUCAACAACGUGCAGUGGGCGUCGACUCAGCCUGACUGGAUUGCCAUCUGCUACAACAACUGCCUGGAGAUCCUCAGAGUGUAGUGUCGGUGGCGCCGUGCCCGCCAGGCAGGGGCUUGUGUGUUUCCCGCCUCUGUCCCACCCCCAAAUAGGCUAUGUCCCGUCUUCUGUUUCGGGGGCUGUUUGGCUGGCCAUCUGCUUGAGGUCAACUCUCUUGAAUUAACUGACGAUGGAAAGCCAGCAGUGCUUGGUGAGCGCCUUCCUCUGUUGGGUUUAAUGAUUCCAGGGUCCUUCCCUCAAGGGUAGCAAGUCUAAAUUGAGUGUCACUUGCUGUAGGAGGCUGUCAGUUCCUUCCUGUGGAAAGGGGUCUGAAAUGGAGCUCUAGUGGUAGGGGGACUGGUCCCGCUGGGACUUCACUACACUGAGUUCUGAGUUAAGAUGUGUUUCCUGCUGUGCAUUUCCUGGUCUGAAUGGUGAGAAGAUUUGCCAGCUGGAACCUGAAAACAACCUGGAGAGAAAAUUUAGUUAAUAGUAUUUGAGAUGCAAUUGGAUAAAUUCGCUCUUUACUCUCAAAACCAACAAGUUUUUUUUUGUUUUGUUUUGUUUUUUUUGCCCCUUGCUCUAUGGACUCCCAGCCCUGUCACCCUCCUUAGGCCUUGUACUGUGGUCUUCUUCCUCCUGACAUCCUACCUGGGCCCAGGUGAGAGUCCCAGUCUCUCUAAGCAGACACAUGCACACACACACACACACACACACACACACACACACUCAGUUGCAGGAAUGCUAGUAUUUUGAGGCCCUGGCUCUCUUAACCUCCCUCUGUGCCACCGGCCAGAUGGCCUCAUGGCUGAGGAGGGGAUUUCUGUAGUCUCAGGAUUUAGAAAGCCCCUUAGUCAGCCAGGCUCCAGGAAGCAGAAAUCUAUUGUAGUUUCAGAAGCAAGUGUUUGUUUGAUUUAGUUAGGCUCUCAGAUUGACAGCCAGCGACAAUAGGUGGGAGGCUCUGUGUCUGUGCUCCUUGCACACGAGAAGAGCAGCUGCCAGGGCCGCGCUGGAAAGGCCAGCAGCGCCUCCGUGGUCUGGCCCUUGGCCGCGCUCUUGGCCCCUGAGCGGCAGCUGCCUUUGUUUUCCUGUCUGCUGGAGGGGGUCCUGAGUAAGGGCAGUGCUGCUCCCACCGCAGAGAGCUAGUGAAUGGCUCCAGGUCCUUCACGAGCUUGGGUGUUUAUAUUCAGGAGAGUUGGAAGCCUCUCUUGCCAGGGAGGGGCCAGGCUGUGAGGUGAGGACUGGAAGAGGGACAGUGUCUGAUAACCAGGUCUUCAGAUUUGGGGAGAAACAGAGAAAAUUGAGGCUCUGACAAGUGUUGAUGAUAGGUGUGGCUGAAAUUUUAGGAGGAGAUUUAGGACGUGGGAGAAAGUCAGUGGUAACAAAGGAGAAAAGAUUAGAGGUGGGGAGGCAUUCAGACUGGCAUGUGGCCGUGAGUGAGACUGGGCCCUUGGCCUGUGUCAGCCUUCCUGGACCAUUCAUCGGUGUCUGUGCCGCGAGGUGGCUGGGGACAGGAUGACCAGAGGGACCCCUUCCUGCGGCAGUUCAGUCCUGGUGUCCUUUGCUGGUAGGGAUCUGGAGGUGUUUAGGCUCCCAUGAUGGUUCCAGACCGCGGCUCCUCUUGGUAGUAGGUGGUCAACAGUCGGGCUGACUUUUUCCGCUCUCCCUUUUCCCUUUUCUCUUCCGCUUACCUUCCCGCUCCCUCCCACUCCCGAACUCUCUCCCUGCUGCCACCUAGAGCUGUCAGGUGUGCAGUGUCUGCCAACCAUGGGAGGGCCAGCCCAGUGCUGUCCCUGCACCGCCCCUCUGCCUGCCUGGCCUGGGCUGAGGGUGGCCGCGAAAGUAGACGCCCCAGAGCAGACCCUGCUCUUUACGGUCUGCGUUCCAGCCUGAGGGAGGAGCGUCAUGCCUGGCGCUUAAAUUGGGUUUUCCCUGUGGGGAGAGCUGCUCUGAGCAGUCACUGUGCUCCCUGGGCCAGGCUCCCCAAGACCUGUCCUCCCCACACUGGCUGGGCCAGCUACGCAGAGUGUUGCAGGGCCUUGCCCUCUCUUCCCACCGUCAUCAUUGCUGCUAAUGGUCAAAGUCAAGUGUACGGCCGCGUGGGAUGGGCCAGGUCCUCUCAGGCUCCUUUCUGGAUGUGAUGUUUUAAGUAUGGAAAAUGCAGGUGCCUUCCCAAGAGGCUUGGACUGGUGUGUGAAACCAGAAACAGAUAAGCUAAUCAGAGUAUGAACUCAAGAGGAAGGAUGUUGGCGGUCUGUGUGACAGCUGGACGACUGACAAGGACCCGCCUUCGGGACGACCCAGCGCAUAAGAACUUGUGAUAUCCGCUAUUUCGAAGAAAUGUUCUCACCUUGGCUUGGUUGUGAUAAUGCAGUGUGUUAUGAAGCUUGUGGAGCUAAAGCUCUGACUUGCUUGAAUUGAAUAUGAAUCAUUUGACAUGGUUCCUGUGUAUUUGAUGACCCCUCCGUCAGUGACUUUCCAUCCCUCCUCCCGGGCGUGAAUUUGUAGCAUGAUUGUACAAAUCUCUAUGUAGAAAAUGGAGGUUUCUUGUUCUCUGAAGUGUUAGGCUCUAGCCAAUCAUCUCUGUCCCAUUUAGCCUAGUGUGUCUGAACUUAAUUUCUUGUUCUAUAUUUGAACUUCUCCUUACGUUACAGGCUUUGUGGCAUCCGACGGUCAGGUGGAGAGGAAGCUACCCCUUGCAGAACUGUACUGUAACCAUUUUUUAAAAAAAAACAAAACAUUAUUUUCACAGGACUGAUUAUACACAGGGCUUGUAAAAAAAAUUUUUUUAACACUGUGCUGUGAAACCGCGAUGGUAAAUCUCCAUUGAAGGCCACUUCAGAGGUGCCUGAAAGUGGAGUGUUAUUAUCUAUGACUUGACUUCUUGCUUUCUGAGUAUAUUAAACCUAAUUUUCACCCUUUCAUUCUGUUUCAGCCUCCUGUAUAAGAAGUACCGUAUUUUCUGCCCAUCAUACUUUGUAAUAAAACUUGAACAUGUA